UACGGAGGGAGCUAGCGUUGUUCGGAAUUACUGGGCGUAAAGCGCGCGUAGGCGGCUUUGUAAGUUAGAGGUGAAAGCCCGGGGCUCAACUCCGGAACUGCCUUUAAGACUGCAUCGCUUGAAUCCGGGAGAGGUGAGUGGAAUUCCGAGUGUAGAGGUGAAAUUCGUAGAUAUUGGGAGGAACACCAGUGGCGAAGGCGGCUCACUGGACCGGUACUGACGCUGAUGCGCGAAAGCGUGGGGAGCAAACGGG
rnacentral:rRNA from 1 species